UACGAAGGGUGCAAGCGUUACUCGGAAUUACUGGGCGUAAAGCGUGCGUAGGCGGUUUGUUAAGUCCGUUGUGAAGCCCGGGCUCAACCUGGGAACCGCGCUUGAGACUGGCACGCUCGAGUUCGGGAGAGGAUGGUGGAAUUCCCAGUGUAGAGGUGAAAUUCGUAGAUAUUGGGAAGAACACCGAUGGCGAAGGCAGCCAUCUGGACCGACACUGACGAGGCGCGAAAGCG
rnacentral:rRNA from 1 species